UUAAAUGUAUGUAAACUAUGUCCGGGUCCAUCAUCCGACCCAUCGUUGGUUAGGUUAUCAAAAAACCUUUCCAACGAGUCCAAAACAUUGAAGAUCUGGCAACCCUGUCUCGAGAUAUGGCCACUUAAGUGAUAUCGAUGUACUUUUUGGAAACCGGAUCUAAAAAAUAGAUGAAACAUUAGGGUGUAAUAUGGUUAUAUGGAAAAAAUUAAAGUUGUCCAAAUUUAGUGAGCACAGCACUUUUUCAGUUCCUAUUGGGGUCCUCAACAACUCCCCAAAGUUUGGGACCAAUUGGUUUAGUCGUCACUUUGCGCAAAGCAAUUCAAUUUUCCAUAUAAAUUUGUAUGGAGAAAACCAUUUUUUUGGAUUUUGAUAUUUAUUGAAUCCACGUUUCAUGCUAUAUCAAAACCGGACUCAUAUUCGGAUGCUCUGGAAUCUGCUCUACAACUUUCCAGAAGAGAGUAUGGUGCUAGCUUGCCCCUAAAAAAAGAUACAGCGUGUUCAAAACUCGUCUAAAACGUGUUUUUUGCUCGAAAAUCACGUUUUAGACGAGUUUUGAGGGCUCUAUAUCUUCUUUCAGGAGCAAGUUAGCACCAUACUCUCUUCGGCAAAGUUGUAGAGCACCUUCCAGAGCAUCCGAAUAUGAGUCCGGUUUUGAUAUGGCAUGAAACGUCGAAUUGUUAAAUAUCAAAAUCCUAAAAAAUGGGUUUCCCCAUACAAAUUUAUAUGGAAAAUUGAAUCGCUUUGCGCAAAGUGAGGACUAAACAAAUUGGUCCCAAACUUUGGGGAGUUGUUGAGGACCCCAAAAGGAACUGAAAAAGUGCUGUGCUGGAAAAUCGAUUUUGAUAUUACACCCUAAUGAAACAUGUGUACAGCCAUUGUUGUGAGGAAGGCUCCAACCACAUAGGUGGAUUUAGUUAGUUUUUUUAAUAAUCUUAGAUUCUAUGCUUCUAGCAUUCAAAAAUCGUUGAUUUUUUUGUUAUUGAUUUGUUCAAUCCCAAUUCUAUUUAUUAAUAGGUAUUUCCUAAAACUAAUUUCCUUAUUUAUAAAAUUAAAAAUUUCAAAAAAAUUUCAAAUGUCAAAUAAAAGUUUUUUUAAAAUCUGAUAUUCAAAAAUACUAAGGUUCAUAAAUUUUGAAAAUGUUUAGGCCUAUAACUUAUUGCAUGUUUUUUUUUCUUUUUAAUAUGCCGUCAGUGGGGGUGACAAUUGGUCUGGGGGUGAGAUUGGGUCAAUGUGAUUUUUUACGGAUUUUACAAUUUCUAAGGUUCUUCUCAAUGAAACUAAUUUCUGUUAAAAGGGUUGUAAGAUGGCUUAGGUGAAAAAAUCUCGUUCCUAGAACAAAUCCUGUAAUUUUAGCAACUGUCGAAAGUUGAGAUACGUUUUUGGCCAAAAAUGACCUCUCGAAAAAUCAACUUUUUAUUAUGAAUUUUUGAUGGAAUUGCUCGAAAAAUACCCAAAUGUUUGAAUGUCUCUAUUUCAAAUAUUGUAGCAUGUCAAUAAGAUUCCCUCAAACAAGAAACACUGUUGGAUGAAAUAUCAAGCAAAACAUUGUGAUAGGGCCGAAACCGAAAUGUAAACAAAGACUCUAUCCUGCUCACGUCAUUUGAUGUUUACAUUAGGAACGAGCAGGAUUAGACUCUUUGUCUACACUUCGGCUUCGGCCCUAUUACAAUGUUUUGCUUGAUAUGUUCCCCAUAUCUUUGUAUUUAAGCAUCAUUUUAGUUUCAUUUGACCCCAAGGCCUAAAUACCAAAAAAUAUAUUUUUAAAGCAGUAAAUUAAAUUUAAAUAUUUUUAAAACAUCAGAACAGUCAUUUUAAAUAAAUCAAACCAUAAAUAAUAUUCUAAAAAUGUUAGAUUUCUUUUAACCCUCUACUGCACAAAUUUUUUUUUCGGACAUUUUUAAUUUUCCCGUGUUUAGGAGGUCAUUUUGAGCACCUUUUGUUCUACGAUGCCCUGUUUGAAAAAUGUCGCACGUCGUGCGAGCUGUCGCGCGGUUUUGAUUUUACCGUUUCGAUAUCGAUUGGUCGAAAGGACGACAAACGGACGACAAACACUCGACAUGCCCGACAUUGUUUUUUCCAUCGAUUUUCCUUCAAUUUGACGUCACGAUUUUCGUCGACGCAGUUUGACAGUUCUCUUCAGUUGGUCUUGUUUGGACUUGAUCAAAUCAGAGAAACUUUGAACCGAGUCGAACCAGUUUACGUUGUUGAAAAGUUCGUGUGGAUUUUUGCCGGUUGAUUGAUUUCCUGAUUUCGGCCUUCGUGGUGGAGGAGGAGGAGAACGGGUCACAUCGUUGCUCCGGCGGGCCAUGCCAAAAGACGGAAAGGGAAGCACCCGGUCUGUGAUCGAGGAAGCGGAUUGGUGUUUAACUUUCCGCGGGAGGUGGCGGUGCAUGGUUUUUAUACGGUUACCAAAAAUAUUCCAAUCGAAUCCUGCUGACAACCCAGCGUUUCCGUAUUGUCCCACGGAACGGAAGCUGUAACGAUCGCAAAAACACCUGCACUGGAAGUGCGUAAACCAACGUUGUCCCGUAGGCCAUCAAUCUGUGAGAAUUAAAUGGAAGCGCCGCUCCAGUGCCGUAUCUACACGCUGGUGUCGACUCCAAAAGAUGGCUGACAAAGUCCGGCCAAGAUGCCGAAGCAACGAGAUGAGCUGAAAGGCCAACCGGAAGACAACGCCAAAAACCACGUGAAGAUCGCGACACACAACAAGAAAAAUUAAUGGAUGUUUGUGAAAUCGAGAGAAAAAGAUUAAUUAACAGAAAAAAUAUAUCUAAAAAUAAUUUAAAAUAUUUUUUCUUUUAUUUUUACUGCAACAUAACCUAAAAAACCGCACACGACUAAGGCACGACAACCUAAAUAACAAAACCGUGCGACGUCGGUCGAAUGUCGUACGACAAUGUCGAACAAUUUCGAUGAUCGAUCGCACGACAAAUACGACAUUUUGGUGCAAAAACGUAUGACAUUCGUGCGAAAGUCGCACGACAUUGUCGUGCGACGUCGUACGGUUGCACGGACGACAAACGACGGACGUCCGACGGACUUUUCAGUCAGGCUCGAGCCAUGUCUUGCUCUUAUUUAUAUGGUUACCAUCCUUCUGGGUCAACACUCGAAAUUACUGUGUUUACUUCUCUUGUUUUAUGUUUUUCUUGUUUCUUUUUUAGUAUUUUAACUUGCAUUUAUCUUGUUUAGUUUAUGUUUGUUUCUUAUAGUAUUUGGCGUACUCUACCACCUCCUAUCAUUGAAUUUUGCCUAGAUCUAAUUGGUCAUGUUUUUACAAUCACUUUUUAAAUUUGUUGCUUAUUUUCACAUUUUCUGCUAUAAAAUGGCAUCAUUAUCAUUAAAAUUGUAAAAAAAAAAUCGUAGAGGCAUGGUUUGGGGCACUAGAAAAAUUACUGCAAACUUCUUGCUACUUAAAAUAUAAGACAUGUUAGUAAAAAAAUACAGCCAAAGUUGACCCCUAAAAAAAUACAUUUUUAAAAACAUUGGCAAAGUCACAUUAAACAAGUAAAACUUCCAACCCAUAAUUUUUUUAAAAUCUUAAGAGUUCUUCUUUCCAAUGCUUUUUAAAGAUCAACAAUAUGUUGAUAAAUGGAUUUUUUGCAAUUCCGUCGUGAAACUAUUUACUUUUCCUGUCAUUCUUGAACGACGAAAUAUCCUACUUUUCUGUACCAAAAAUAACAGAAUCGAAUAGCAACACUUUUCAAAAUAAAUGCACUCAAAUGGGUGCUGAAAAGUUGAACUUUUCAGCACUUGUUUCGAAAAGUAAUACUUUUCAACAUUUUUUUUUGAUUUCAACGAUUUAUUGACAAAAUGCAUGAAAAUUUGACAUAAAAUUUCACUCAGUGUGUGUUUUUUGGAAUUGCAAAAAAUGUUGUAUGGAACUCGUUGCAAAACUUGUUUUUUUCAGCACUCUUCGUAUUUAUCCAACUCGGUGAACCUCGUUGGAUAAAUGUACGACUCGUGCUGAAAAAAUCCUCUUUUUGCAACUUGUUGCAUAAACUACUAUUUGGCGAUUCUUUAAAUCGAAACCCGUCUAAAGGCGGGGUUGGGUUGUAGAGGGUUAAACACAGAAAUCUGUUGAAAAAUGAAAUUUGAAGAAUUUUAAGAUUCAAGCCUGUCUUAAGAAGAUGGUGGGCUAUAAUGGUUUUGCUCUGUGGAAAAUAUCCCAGUUUAAACAUUUCCCUCCCU